AUCUUGCUUGUUGGAUAGCAGAUAAUGAAUGCAAUGUCAUCAACAUAGGAACUCGUCACUUUUCAUGGAAAGAUCAAUAUUGUCAUAAAGAUCAACUUCUAAGAUCAUUAUGAAAGUUACGAGCAUUGUAUUUCAAAUAUUUGAAGAAAGCAAGGGUUGUUUUGGAGUUUACAGGUAAGUUGAAACAUUUGAGAUAUUUGAGUAUUAUGGAUUCAAAAAUUUCAAAUCUUCCGGACUCCAUUACGAAAUUGUAUAAUUUAGAAACAUUGAUCCUUCGGAAUUCAAGUUUUAAAAUGUUGCCCGAUAAUAUCGGCAAUUUGAUCAACCUUAACUAUUUAGAUUUUUCUAAUAAUUGGAAUUUAAAAUUCCUUCCGGAUUCUUUUAGUGACUUGUGUAAAUUGGAAGCACUCAUCCUUGAUGGUUGUUUGAGAUUAGAAGAAUUUCCGGAAGAUACAAUAAGGUUGAUCAACCUUAAGCAUCUUAAUAUAUGCGGAUGUUUGAGUCUCACCUAUAUACCAAAAGGAUUGGUUGAGCUGAGUGAUCUUCAGAUAUUGAGAUUUCAGAUUAACAGAAUUGCUCGAGAUUAAAAGGAUUACAAGAGAUGGUCAAGCGAUCUUCAACUUAUAAGUUCUUACAACUGAAGUCGGGUCUUCAUAAUUAAGUUGGAGCUUGGUUUUUGAAUCUUACAAUAUUUUGAUGGUGCUUUGCUUCUGAAGUUUAAGCUCUUCUUUUGUUCAGUUGUUUCUUAUGAACUGCUUAUAAAGUUUGUGAGUUGUGAGUCUUAAUCAUGUAUUCUUGGUUUUCUUUUUCUUUUCGGAAUGAAUUUCUAUUGGAUUUGGUAUAUGAUGAAGGUGCUAAAGAUAUGUCUACCUAACUGAAAUAUUUUGUGCAUCUCAUGUUCCCUCUUUGUACAUCGUUUAUUUUAUUGCUAGAAAAAAAUAAAUAUACUGUUAUUAUUGAUAAUGGAGAUUUCAACUAUGGUCACGUGGUUUUUUACUCUACCAUUUGAGGAGGUUUUUCACGUUAAAAUUGUCGGUGAAAGAGCCAAUAGUCUCACAAUUUGAGGACGUUUCCCACGUUAACUACAUUCAGGCUGCAACGGUUACAACAUCAUCUCACACAAAGGCAUAAAGGCUAAACAACACUAUAUGUGUCAUCGAUCUCCAUCGAUGGGUAGAAUGAUAAUAUUGCAUUAUGAAAACAGACAAUCAAAACGUCUUUGAAAGUACUUUGGAAGCAAAUUCAAAACAUAUGAGAACUCAUACAAUCACAUAAUGGGAGGAGACCAAUUCGCUGUGGGAGCUAGGAAUGAAGAAAAAGAGAUUUACCCAAAACAGCACUGAAUGAAGGGCAUGAUAUGUAUACUAGUUAGGUGCCACUUUUACAAGAGUUCUUUGUUCUCAUUUACUUAAGUUGCCUAAAUAUUUAUCUUUAUAUGUCCUAUUGUGUGUACCUAUAUAUUGUUUAUGGUGGAGAUUUUGACUACGGUCACGUGGUUUUUUACUCCACAAUUUAAGGAAUUUUUUCCAAGUUGAAAA